AAGAACCUUACCUAGGCUUGAAUUNAAAUUGACCGGUUUGAAAACUGAUCUUUCCCAAGACAAUUUACAAAGUGCUGCAUGGUUGUCGUCANCUCGUGCCGUUGAGGUGUCAUGUUAAGUCCUAUAACGAGCGCAACCCCUGNUGUUAGUUGCCANCCAGCCAAGUCGGGAACUCUAACAAGACUGCCAGUGCAAACUGUGAGGAAGGUGGGGAUGACUNUCAAAUCAUCACGGCCCUUACGUCUUGGGCUACACACGUGCUACAAUGGCCGGUACAGAGAGCAGCCACUGCGCGACCAGGAGCGAAUCUAUAAAACCGGUCACAGUUCGGAUCGGAGUCUGCAACUCAACUCCGUGAAGUUGGAAUCGCUAGUAAUCGGAUAUCAGCCAUGAUCCGGUGAAUAUAUUCCCGGGNCUUGUAUACACCGCCCGUCAAGCCAUGGAAGAUGGGUGUGCCUGAAGUCAGNGACCGCAACGAGCUGGCCUAGGGAAAAACUGGUAACUAGGGCUUAAUCGUAACCGAGGUANCCGUA
rnacentral:rRNA from 1 species